GACGAACGCUGGCGGCGUGCCUAACACAUGCAAGUCGAACGGAAAGGCCCUGCUUUUGUGGGGUGCUCGAGUGGCGAACGGGUGAGUUACCUGUGAGUACCCUGCCCUUGACUUUGGGAUAACUUCAGGCAGCUGGGGCUAAUACCGGAUAGGAGCUCCUGCUGCUUGGUGGGGGUUGGACAGUUUCGGCGGUUGGGGAUGGACUGGCGGCUUAUCAGCUUGUUGGUGGGGUAGUGGCUUACCCAGGCUUUGACGGGUAGCCGGCCUGAGAGGGUGACCGGCCACAUUGGGACUGAGAUACGGCCCAGACUCCUACGGUAGGCAGCGGUGGAGAAUAUUGCACAGUGGGCGGAAGCCUGAUGCAGCAACGCCGCGUGCGGGAAGACGGCCUGCGGGUUGUAAACCGCAUUCACCUGUGACGAAGCGUGAGUGACGGUAACGGGAGAAGAAGCACCGGCUAACUACGUG
rnacentral:rRNA from 1 species